UACGGGGGGGGCAAGCGUUGUUCGGAAUUACUGGGCGUAAAGGGCGCGUAGGCGGUUGGAUAAGUCAGCUGUGAAAACCAUGAGCUCAACUUGUGGCCUGCAGUUGAAACUGUCUGGCUAGAGUGUGGGAGAGGGAAGUGGAAUUCCUGGUGUAGCGGUGAAAUGCGUAGAUAUCAGGAGGAACACCGGUGGCGAAGGCGGCUUCCUGGACCACAACUGACGCUGAGGCGCGAAAGCUAGGGGAGCAAACAGG
rnacentral:rRNA from 1 species